AUGGAGACGGAGUACAUUAGUACCAAUCUUCAAGAACAAGGGGAUGUUCAGAGUUGUAUUAAUUGCCGUGGAAUUAAGCUGAUGAGCCAUACAAUGAAGCUACGGGAGAGAGCCAUUGAGCACCGCUUAAGAAGAACGACAAGCGUGACCAAAAAUCAGUUUGAUUUCAUGCCUGGGAGGUUGACCAUGGAAGCCAUUUUCUUGCUACGACAACUUAUGGAGAGAUACGGGGAGCAAAAGGACUUGCAUAUGGUGUUCAUUGACUUGGAGAAGGCCUAUGAUAAGAUACCACGGAAUGUCAUGUGGUGGGCCUUGGAGAAACACAAAGUCCCAGCAAAGUACAUUACCCUCAUCAAGGACAUGUACAAUAAUGUUGUGACAACUGACAAGUGUUCGAACAAGUGA
rnacentral:rRNA from 1 species